rnacentral:rRNA from 1 species
UACGGAGGGGGCUAGCGUUGUUCGGAAUUACUGGGCGUAAAGCGCGCGUAGGCGGACCUGCAAGUCGGGGGUGAAAGCCCGAGGCUCAACCUCGGAACUGCCUUCGAUACUGCGGGUCUCGAGUCCGGGAGAGGUGAGUGGAAUUCCUAGUGUAGAGGUGAAAUUCGUAGAUAUUAGGAAGAACACCAGUGGCGAAGGCGGCUCACUGGCCCGGUACUGACGCUGAGGCGCGAAAACGUGGGGAGCAAACAGG